GGUGAGAUAUUCCUGCACAUCCUCUGGGGACCCCAGAAUGAGGGGGACUCGCUGGUGAAUUGCCUCGGGUUUCACGUCCAGUACAGGCUGGGUCCCCGUGGUUGCCAAGCCUCCUGCCUGCUCAAUGAUGUAGGCCACGGGAUUGCAUUCAUACAGGAGCCGGAGCUGUGGAGGAACAGAGGCAGGACAAAUUCACCAAGAGCCUAGCAACAUGAAGAGAGAUGCCAGGAAGAGGAGAUAAGCCAGGAAACAGAAGCCGACCGCAGGAUCCCCACAAUGAGAGCAGGAGAUGGGGGCCUGCUGGCAGAGCCCAGGCUUGGCUGUGGUCACUCUGAGCCUGCCCUGUGGUGGUUUCGCAACUGGUGGGAAGAUCAGGGAUCACAUGGAGCCCACAGGAAGCCCAAGCAGUAACACAGCAAGCAGGAAGACAAUUCAAAGGAAGAGGCCAUAGUCUUCUUUCUCUUCCUUUGUGGCUUCCACUGUCAGCGAGGUACGAGGAACCCAGCUGUGUGUGUCUCCCCAGUUCUCACCCCCAGAUUAACGUUUUCAGGAAGAUGGGCCAUCAACAGUGAGAGGAAGAAGUUACAUUGUUGUAUGAGGGAUGCAUUUUAACCAUUAAUUUGUGGUACAUGCCGGGCGCGGUGGCUCAAGCCUGUAAUCCCAGCACUUUGGGAGGCCGAGGCGGGCGGAUCACGAGGUCAGGAGAUCGAGACCAUCCUGGCUAACACGGUGAAACCCCGUCUCUACUAAAAUUACAAAAGAACAUUAGCCGGGCGAGGUGGCGGGCGCCUGUAGUCCCAGCUACUCGGGAGGCUGAGGCAGGAGAAUGGCGUGAACCCGGGAGGCGGAGCUUGCAGUGAGCCGAGAUCGCGCCACUGCACUCCAGUCUGGGCGACAGAGCGAGACUCCGUCUC